rnacentral:SRP_RNA from 1 species
GCCAGGCACGGUGGCAUGUGCCUGUAGUCCCAGCUACUUGGGAGGCUGAGGUGGGAGGAUCACUUGAGCCCAGGAGUCCUGGGCUGUAGUGUGCUAUGCCCAUCAGGUGUCUACACUAAUCAUCAAUAUGGUGACCUGGGAGCAGAGGACCACCAGGUUACAUAAGGAGGGGUGAACCGGCCCAGGUCAGAAACGGAGCAGGUCAAAACUCCCGUGCUGCUCAGUAGUGGGAUCGUGCCUGUGAAUAGCCACUGCACUCCAGCCUGGGCAACAUAGCGAGAACCCGUCUCUU